rnacentral:rRNA from 1 species
UAUGGGUAGGGGAGCGGUAAAAUGUUAUAAUCCUACCUGGACCACCUGUGGCGAAGGCGUCCGACCAGAACGGGUUCGACUGUGAGGGACGAAAGCUAGGGGAGCGAUCCGGAUUAGAUACCCGAGUAGUCCUAGCCGUAAACGCUGUGAGUUAGGUAUUGCAUAUUCUUCGUGAAUGUGCAGUGUCGUAGUGAAGACGUUAGACUCACCGCCUGGGAAGUACGGUCGCAAGACUGAAACUUAAAGGAAU